UUUGAUCCUGGCUCAGAAUGAACGUUGGCGGCGUGGAUUAGGCAUGCAAGUCGAGCGAGAACCCGCAAGGGGGACAGCGGCAAACGGGGUAGUAACGGGUAGGCAACGUACCCUCGGGUCGGGGAUAGCCACGGGAAACUGUGGGUAAUACCCGAUAAUCUCUGCGGUGGUAAGUAUCGCAGAGCAAAGGUGUGAUUCCACCGGAGGAGCGGCCUGCUUCGUAUUAGCUAGUUGGUGAGGUAACGGCUCACCAAGGCGACGAUGCGUAGGGGGUGUGAGAGCAUGACCCCCACCACUGGGACUGAGAUACUGCCCAGACACCUACGGGUGGCUGCAGUCGAGAAUCUUCGGCAAUGGGCGCAAGCCUGACCGAGCGACGCCGCGUGUGGGAUGAAGGCCCUUGGGUUGUAAACCACUGUCAGAGGGGAUGAAAUGCGGGAGAGCUAUCUCUUCCGUUUGACAUAGCCUCAGAGGAAGCACGGGCUAAGUUCGUGCCAGCAGCCGCGGUAAUACGAACUGUGCAAACGUUAUUCGGAAUCACUGGGCUUACAGGGUGCGUAGGCGGUCUGUUAAGUAGGGUGUGAAAGCCCCCGGCUCAACCGGGGAAUUGCGCCCUAAACUGGCGGACUGGAGUGAGAUAGGGGUGUGCGGAACUUCCGGUGGAGCGGUGAAAUGUGUUGAUAUCGGAAGGAACGCCGGUGGCGAAAGCGGCACACUGGAUCUCNACUGACGCUGANGCACGAAAGCCAGGGGAGCGAACGGGAUUAGAUACCCCGGUAGUCCUG
rnacentral:rRNA from 1 species